UGAGCAAUCUGCCCUUCACAUCGGAAUAACCAUUGGAGACGAUGGCUAAUACCGAAUAUGACUUCGGAUCGCAUGAUCUGAAGUGGAAAGCUCCGGCGGUGAAGGAUGAGCUCGCGGCCUAUCAGCUUGUUGGUGGGGUAAUGGCCCACAAGGCUUCGACGGGUAGCCGGCCUGAGAGGGUGACCGGCCACACUGGGACUGAGACACGGCCAGAUCCGUACGGG
rnacentral:rRNA from 1 species